GUUGUAUAGUCAAGUAAUUAAGUGCAUGUGGUGGAUGCCUUGGCAGUCAGAGGCGAUGAAAGACGUGAUAGCCUGCGAAAAGCUCCGGGGAGGCGGCAAAUAUCCUUUGAUCCGGAGAUGUCUGAAUGGGGGAACCCACCUACUUUAAGGUAGGUAUUGCAACAUGAAUACAUAGUGUUGCAAGGCGAACGAGGGGAAGUGAAACAUCUCAGUACCCUUAGGAAAAGAAAUCAAUUGAGAUUCCCUCAGUAGCGGCGAGCGAACGGGGAUCAGCCCAUUAAGUUAUGUGUGUUUUAGUGGAACGCUCUGGGAAGUGCGAACGUAGAGGGUGAUAUUCCCGUACACGAAAGGGCACACAUAAUGAUGACGAGUAGGGCGAGGCACGUGAAACCUUGUCUGAAUAUGGGGGGACCAUCCUCCAAGGCUAAAUACUCCUGACUGACCGAUAGUGAACCAGUACCGUGAGGGAAAGGCGAAAAGAACCCCUGUGAGGGGAGUGAAAUAGAUCCUGAAACCGCAUGCAUACAAGCAGUGGGAGCACCUUCGUGGUGUGACUGCGUACCUUUUGUAUAAUGGGUCAGCGACUUAUAUUCAGUAGCGAGGUUAACCGUAUAGGGGAGCCGUAGAGAAAUCGAGUCUUAAUAGGGCGUUUAGUUGCUGGGUAUAGACCCGAAACCAGGCGAUCUAUCCAUGAGCAGGUUGAAGGUUGGGUAACACUAACUGGAGGACCGAACCCACUGUCGUUGAAAAGCCAGGGGAUGACUUGUGGAUAGGGGUGAAAGGCUAAUCAAGCCUGGUGAUAGCUGGUUCUCCCCGAAAGCUAUUUAGGUAGCGCCUCGGACGAAUACCAUAGGGGGUAGAGCACUGUUUCGGCUAGGGGGUCAUCCCGACUUACCAAACCGAUGCAAACUCCGAAUACCUAUGAGUACUAUCCGGGAGACAGACUGCGGGUGCUAACGUCCGUAGUCAAGAGGAAAACAAUCCAGACCGCCAGCUAAGGCCCCAAAAUCAUAGUUAAGUGGGAAACGAUGUGGGAAGGCAUAGACAGCU
rnacentral:rRNA from 1 species